AUGUUUGUAUUUCUACUGCUGGUGAUGCUGGGACUCCUUGUACAAGGAUCAAUGGCAGACAUAAUCCUGACUCAGUCUCCAGCAGCUCGGUCUGUUCAGCUUGGAGACACUGUCUCUAUCAGCUGUAAAGCCAGUCAGCAUGUGGGCACCGAAUUUGACUGGUACCUGCUCAGACCUGGUCAGGCUCCUAAACUUCUGAUUUAUGCUGCCACAAGUCGCCAGACUGGGAUCCCUGAUCGUUUCAGUGGGAGUGGAUCUGGGACUCAGUUCACACUGAAAAUCACUGGAGUCCAGGCUGAAGAUGCAGGAGAUUAUUACUGUCAGCAGGACUAUAGCUUGCCGCUCACACAGUGUUAGAGAGCCGUACAAAAACCUCCCUCAG